UGCCUACGGGACGCAGCAGUGAGGAAUAUUGGUCAAUGGGCGCGAGCCUGAACCAGCCAAGUCGCGUGAGGGAUGACGGUCCUACGGAUUGUAAACCUCUUUUGCCGGGGAGCAAGCGUGCGUUCGUGAACGCACGUCGAGAGUACCCGGAGAAAAAGCAUCGGCUAACUCCGUGCCAGCAGCCGCGGUAAUACGGAGGAUGCGAGCGUUAUCCGGAUUUAUUGGGUUUAAAGGGUGCGUAGGCGGAAUAUCAAGUCAGCGGUAAAAAUUCGGGGCUCAACCCCGUCGUGCCGUUGAAACUGAUG
rnacentral:rRNA from 1 species